UAGGGAAUCUUCCACAAUGGACGCAAGUCUGAUGGAGCAACGCCGCGUGAGUGAAGAAGGUUUUCGGAUCGUAAAUCUCUGUUGUUGGUGAAGAAGGAUAGAGGCAGUAACUGGUCUUUAUUUGACGGUAAUCAACCAGAAAGUCACGGCUAACUACGUGCCAGCAGCCGCGGUAAUACGUAGGUGGCAAGCGUUGUCCGGAUUUAUUGGGCGUAAAGCGAGCGCAGGCGGAAUGAUAAGUCUGAUGUGAAAGCCCACGGCGCAACCGUGGAACUGCAUCGGAAACUGUCAUUCUUGAGUGCAGAAGAGGAGAGUGGAAUUCCAUGUGUAGCGGUGGAAUGCGUAGAUAUAUGGAAGAACACCAGUGGCGAAGGCGGCUCUCUGGUCUGCAACUGACGCUGAGGCUCGAAAGCAUGGGUAGCGAACAGG
rnacentral:rRNA from 1 species